rnacentral:rRNA from 1 species
UACGGAGACUGCGAGCGUUACUCGGAUUUACUGGGCGUAAAGGGUCCGUAGGCGGCCUUGUGUAUCGGGUGUGAAAUCCUACAGCUUAACUGUAGAACUGCGCCCGAAACUACAUGGCUAGAGUAUUGGAGAGGUGAGUGGAAUUCCAGGUGUAGCGGUGAAAUGCGUAGAUAUCUGGAGGAACACCAACGGCGAAGGCAGCUCACUGGACAAUUACUGACGCUGAGGGACGAAAGCGUGGGGAGCAAAAGGGAUUAGAUACCCCUGUAGUCCACGCCGUAAACGUUGUGCACUCGCUAUUGGCGGUUUCGACCCCGUCAGUGGCUAAGCUAACGCGAUAAGUGCACCGCCUGAGGACUACGGCCGCAAGGCUAAAACUCAAAGGAAUUGACGGGUCCCCGCACAAGCGGUGGAGCAUGUGGCUUAAUUCGAUGCAACGCGAAGAACCUUACCAGGCCUUGACAUGUAGUGGACCGGGGCAGAGAUGCCCCUUCUCUUCGGGGCCGCUUCACAGGUGCUGCAUGGCUGUCGUCAGCUCGUGUCGUGAGAUGUUCGGUUAAGUCCGUCAACGAGCGCAACCCCUGUCCUUAGUUGCCAUCAUUCAGUUGGGGACUCUAAGGAGACAAUCCUGCUUUUGCAGGAGGGAAGGUGGGGAUGAUGUCAAGUCAGUAUGGCCCUUACGGCCUGGGCUGCACACGUGCUACAAUGCCCGGUACAGUGGGAUGCCACUUCGCGAGAAGGCGCUAAUCCUCAAAGCCGGGCCCAGUUCGGAUUGGAGUCUGCAACUCGACUCCAUGAAGCCGGAAUCGCUAGUAAUGGCGUAUCAGCAACGACGCCGUGAAUACGUUCCCGGGGAU